UAGCAGGUAUUCGUUUCACUGAGUGAGUA
rnacentral:piRNA from 1 species